rnacentral:rRNA from 1 species
AUUGAACGCUGGCGGCAGGCCUAACACAUGCAAGUCGAGCGGUAGAGAGGUGCUUGCAUCUCUUGAGAGCGGCGGACGGGUGAGUAAUGCCUAGGAAUCUGCCUGGUGGUGGGGGAUAACGUUCGGAAACGGACGCUAAUACCGCAUACGUCCUACGGGAGAAAGCGGGGGAUCUUCGGACCUCGCGCCAUUAGAUGAGCCUAGGUCGGAUUAGCUAGUUGGUGAGGUAAUGGCUCACCAAGGCGACGAUCCGUAACUGGUCUGAGAGGAUGAUCAGUCACACUGGAACUGAGACACGGUCCAGACUCUACGGAGGCAGCAGUGGGGAAUAUUAGGACAAUGGCGAAAGCCUGAUCCAGCCAUGCCGCGUGUGUGAAG